GACGAACGCUGGCGGCGUGCUUAACACAUGCAAGUCGAACGGAAAGGCCCUGCUUUUGUGGGGUGCUCGAGUGGCGAACGGGUGGGUAACACGUGAGUAACCUGCCCUUGACUUUGGGAUAACUUCAGGAAACUGGGGCUAAUACCGGAUAGGAGCUCCUGCUGCAUGGUGGGGGUUGGAAAGUUUCGGCGGUUGGGGAUGGACUCGCGGCUUAUCAGCUUGUUGGUGGGGUAGUGGCUUACCAAGGCUUUGACGGGUAGCCGGCCUGAGAGGGUGACCGGCCACAUUGGGACUGAGAUACGGCCCAGACUCCUACGGGAGGCAGCAGUGGGGAAUAUUGCACAAUGGGCGGAAGCCUGAUGCAGCGACGCCGCGUGCGGGAUGACGGCCUUCGGGUUGUAAACCGCUUUCGCCUGUGACGAAGCGUGAGUGACGGUAAUGGGUAAAGAAGCACCGGCUAACUACGUG
rnacentral:rRNA from 1 species